CAAUAGCGUAUAUUUAAGUUGUUGCAGUUAAAAAGCUCGUAGUUGGAUUUCGGAUGGGAUUUGCCGGUCCGUCGUUACGAUGUGCACUGGCCAGUCCUAUCUUGUUGUCGGGGACUAGCUCCUUGGAUUCACUUCCUGGGACUAGGAGCUGACGAGGUUACUUUGAGUAAAUUAGAGUGUUCAAAGCAAGCCUACGCUCUGAAUACAUUAGCAUGGAAUAACACGAUAGGACUCUGGCUUAUCUUGUUGGUCUGUGAGACCAGAGUAAUGAUUAAGAGGGACAGUCGGGGACAUUCGUAUUUCAUUGUCAGAGGUGAAACUCUUGGAUUUAUGAAAGACGAACUUCUGCGAAAGCAUUUGUCAAGGAUGUUUUCAUUAA
rnacentral:rRNA from 1 species